GCCCGUGUGGCUUAAUGGUUAAAGUUCCCGACUCUUAAGCUGAUUCCAGCUGAUCGGGCGAUUGCGGGUUCGAGUCCCGCCAUGGGCU